ACAGGCAGUGGAAUUCAAAGUGUCGAAAGGACUGACUGCCACAGGUAGUUUGAAGAUGGAGAUGACCAUUUGGAAAGCACAUAAAAGAACUGGAUUCUCCUAAUAACCUGAAUGAAAUUGAAAGCAGAAUUUUCCUCAGAUCCUCAGAUCCACAAGACACCUUUUCCAGAUAUGUAACGGUGACUUUAAUAUAAUCUAUCCCCAUACAAUGCUGAAUACAACUUCAGGAUGUUCACCUACUUGAGCUACUCAUCCAUGGAAUCAUGAAUUCAGAAACUCUAGUCCAGAAUAUAAGGAGGCUGCCUAUUGUCAGGCUUUACACAAGGACUUCAUUAUGUUAUCAAGUUAAGAUGAGUUCAUACUGGAUUACAGUGGGCCCUGGGACAAUGACUGAUGUUCUUAAAAGAAAAGAGAAAUUUGGACAUCGAUUCAGACAGAGGGAUGAUGGCUAUGUAAAGAUGAAGGCAGAGAUUGGAGGGAUACUGCCACAAGCCAACAAUAUCAACGACUGACAGCAACCACCAGAAGCUAGAAGAGACAAGGGAGAAUUUUACUCUAGGGACUUUGGAGGAAAUAAGACCCUGUUGACACUUUGAUUGUGGACCUCUAGCGUCCAGAACUUUGAGAUAAUAGAUUUCUGUUGUUUUAUGCCACCCAUUUUGUGAGACUGUUAUGGCAGCCUUAGGGAAUGAAUUCAGAUUCCCAUUGCUCCUAGAUAAAGUCCAAGCUUCUUUUUAUGGCCUGUAAGAUAUUUUCUGCUCAGGCACUACUUUGGUCUUCAGCCUAUUUUGUCUUCUUGUC
rnacentral:lncRNA from 1 species